rnacentral:rRNA from 1 species
UGGGGAAUAUUGGACAAUGGGCGAAAGCCUGAUCCAGCCAUGCCGCGUGUGUGAAGAAGGUCUUCGGAUUGUAAAGCACUUUAAGUUGGGAGGAAGGGCAGUAAGCGAAUACCUUGCUGUUUUGACGUUACCGACAGAAUAAGCAACGGCUAACUCUGUGCCAGCAGCCGCGGUAAUACAGUGGGUGCAAGCGUUAAUCGGAAUUACGGGGCGUAAAGCGCGCGUAGGUGGUUCGUUAAGUUGAAUGUGAAAGCCCCGGGCUCAACCUGGGAACUGCAUCGAAAACUGGCGAGCUAGAGUAGAGCAGAGGGUGGUGGAAUGUCCUGUGUAGCGGUGAAAUGCGUAGAUAUAGGAAGGAACACCAGUGGCGAAGGCGACCACCUGGGCUCAUACUGACACUGAGGUGCGAAAGCGUGGGGAGCAAACAGG